GAGAGGGUGGGCACCCGUGGGAUGUCGUCCUUUCUCUGGGAAAGGCCUCGAAAGCCGGGAAGAGAGGCUUGCAGUGGACAGGGGAGCCACUACACUGAUUCCAUAACCACGUGUUGUGGGCCAUGUCGCUGAAAAACACCGAACUAGACGACCGCUAACGGUGAUGCUGUAACACUGCUGGGGGACAGGACCAGGUGCCAUAUGGCUGACACAGCACGACGCCAGGAUCUCACGAGACCUCACCGUCUGGUUUCACAGGAGCCGCAAAUCACCGGAGCCUGGUAGCUGCUCUCCUGUCCUCGGUCCUCUCCCUUCAGAUCACCCGUGUAGCCCUUAAAAGCUGAGCUGCUCACACUCGCUGACUUUCGCUUAAUACAGCGGUCACUUAACGGCAAAUUAAACUCUGCGUUACUCUCUCUGAUAAGGCAAGAGCUGCACAUUUCCUAGGGGCGAGCUGGGAGGAGAGGAUGAUUUGGAGUAGAUAAUAGGAUUCCUUCUUGUGUCUCCCCCCGACCGAACAGGGACUCUCAACUACCUUUGUCAGUACCCUCAGUCAUUUAUUUCAAGGGACAUAAUCCUUAAUGGACCAAAACUCGGUUUUGAUGACAUGGAGAGGAAGGGACUGAUAGAGAGUAAUCCGUUCAUUUUACCAUCUUAUAAUAAGUACA